UGGGGAAUAUUGGACAAUGGGCGCAAGCCUGAUCCAGCAAUACCGCGUGUGUGAAGAAGGCCUGAGGGUUGUAAAGCACUUUCAGCGAGGAGGAAGGUAGAGGUGUUAAUAGUACCGCUAUUUGACGUUACUCGCAGAAGAAGCACCGGCUAACUCUGUGCCAGCAGCCGCGGUAAUACAGAGGGUGCAAGCGUUAAUCGGAAUUACUGGGCGUAAAGCGUGCGUAGGUGGAUAUUUAAGUCAUAUGUGAAAGCCCCGGGCUUAACCUGGGAAUUGCAUCUGAUACUGGGUAUCUGGAGUAUGGUAGAGGAUAGUGGAAUUUCCGGUGUAGCGGUGAAAUGCGUAGAUAUCGGAAGGAACACCAGUGGCGAAGGCGACUGUCUGGGCCAAUACUGACACU
rnacentral:rRNA from 1 species